AGGGCUGUCGCUGACCUCCAAAGGUUGUGCACGCCCGAGCGCUCUCACACAAUCCAUCUCACACCCCUUUGUGCAUCACCGCGAGGGUCCCAGUGGCUGUAACGGCCCCAAGGUGGGAAUGCGAGGCGAUGUUUUCCCCAACGGAGUCCCGUGCUCGUGCGCCGAGUUCAAGACUGUCCCCUCCAGAAAACUUUGGUGUCCAUCGUCCCUCACAGCGUAGGCUGUGGUCGGAUUUGGAGUAAUCGGCCCUUGUCUAGCCAGGGAAGCAAUUCCGCAGCUAGCAGGACUCACCGAGUUGGUCUUAGGAGAUCAGGGCACGUCAUCUGUCGCGCGGGUGCGCCGUGUCCCUCGUAGACCUUUAUACCUCGCGUUUCCACACAAACCUCUGAUACAGUGUAGAAUGUUAUUUUACCUUUUGCGGUCACACGCAAUCAAUACAACUUUCAACAACGGAUCUCUUGGCUCUCGCAUCGAUGAAGAACGCAGCGAAAUGCGAUACGUAAUGUGAAUUGCAGAAUUCAGUGAAUCAUCGAAUCUUUGAACGCACCUUGCGCCCCUUGGCAUUCCGAGGGGCACACCCGUUUGAGUGUCGUGAAACCAUCAAAACCUUUUUCUCUUUGAUCCCAAAUUUAUUUUGGUCGGGAAAAGGAUUUUGGACUUGGAGGUUCCAUGCUCGCUUUCUUUUGAAAGCGAGCUCCUCUCAAAUGAAUCAGUGGGGUCCGCUUUGCCGAUCCUUGACGUGAUAAGAUGCUUCUACGUUUUGGAUUUGGCACUGUCCCUUGGAUGCCUGCUUCUAACCGUCCCAUGGACAAAGAUGGUGCUCCGGUCAACCGCCGUCUACGUUGGCGGGGGGAGGCUGGACCCACAAGAAGAAAACCUUGACCUCAAAUCGGGUGAGACUACCCGCUGAAUU
rnacentral:rRNA from 1 species